rnacentral:SRP_RNA from 1 species
GCCGGGUGCAGUGGCGCGCGCCUGUAAUCCAAGCUGCUGGGAGGCUGAGGCUGGCGGAUCGCUUGAGUUCAGGGGUUCUGGGCUGCAGUGGACUAUGUCGAUCGGGUGUCCGCGCUAAGUUCGGUAUCGAUAUGGUGCUCCUGGGGGAGCUCGGGACCACCAGGUCAUCUAAGGAGGGGUGAACCGGCCCAUGUCAGAGACGGAGCAGGUCAAAGCCCCCGUGCCGAUCGGUAGUGGGGUCGCGCCUGUGAAUAGACACUGCAGUGCAGCCUGAGCGAUACAUUUACAUUACAUUUAGUCUAUU